UUCUAGACUAAGUAGGACAUCAAGUGCC
rnacentral:piRNA from 1 species